UGGGACCUUCGGGGCCCUCUAACCACAGCGGACCUACGGGGCCGCAUACAAGCAAACGGAAGACAGAGA
rfam:Sulfitobacter donghicola DSW-25 = KCTC 12864 = JCM 14565 contig5_scaffold5, whole genome shotgun sequence.